UCGAGCGGAUGAAGGGAGCUUGCUCCUGGAUUCAGCGGCGGACGGGUGAGUAAUGCCUAGGAAUCUGCCUGGUAGUGGGGGAUAACGUCCGGAAACGGGCGCUAAUACCGCAUACGUCCUGAGGGAGAAAGUGGGGGAUCUUCGGACCUCACGCUAUCAGAUGAGCCUAGGUCGGAUUAGCUAGUUGGUGGGGUAAAGGCCUACCAAGGCGACGAUCCGUAACUGGUCUGAGAGGAUGAUCAGUCACACGGAACUGAGACACGGUCCAGACUCCUACGGGAGGCAGCAGUGGGGAAUAUUGGACAAUGGGCGAAAGCCUGAUCCAGCCAUGCCGCGUGUGUGAAGAAGGUCUUCGGAUUGUAAAGCACUUUAAGUUGGGAGGAAGGGCAGUAAGUUAAUACCUUGCUGUUUUGACGUUCCAACAGAAUAAGCACCGGCUAACUUCGUGCCAGCAGCCGCGGUAAUACGAAGGGUGCAAGCGUUAAUCGGAAUUACUGGGCGUAAAGCGCGCGUAGGUGGUUCAGCAAGUUGGAUGUGAAAUCCCCGGGCUCAACCUGGGAACUGCAUCCAAAACUACUGAGCUAGAGUACGGUAGAGGGUGGUGGAAUUUCCUGUGUAGCGGUGAAAUGCGUAGAUAUAGGAAGGAACACCAGUGGCGAAGGCGANCACCUGGACUGAUACUGACACUGANGU
rnacentral:rRNA from 1 species